AUCUCCAGAAGGGGCAAAAAUGUGAGGGCCCUUGAGCAGAGCUAUAACAUCCUCAAGAGACACAGAAGCUGAGAAGUCACCAGGCCAGCACAAGCAAUGGGAAACAGUUGACCUCAGUGAAUGUAAACCUUACACAUGGUAAGUGGCAAGAUACCUGUCACGUGAGUGUCUGUGAGAGGAGAACAGAAGGCCAGAGGGACCUUUCUGCUUUUCAGGUUCUCACCACCUUCAACUUAAAGUACUCAGUGUGCCCUGGGGUCAUGUCUUAGGUAGCAUGUUCUGAGCUCUGACAGGGUCUCACUAUGUACUUCAAGCUGGCCUGGACUCUAUACAUAGCCCACACUGCCUCAGCUUCCAAGUGCUGGAUUUAUAGUGACAGUGCUGUCGAAACUCUUGAAUCCCAUGUUCGGAUUACUGAAGCUCCAGGUUACUCCUGGAAGGGAACAUCCAGCCU